UACGGAGGGUGCAAGCGUUAUCCGGAUUCACUGGGUUUAAAGGGUGCGUAGGUGGGUUGGGAAGUCAGUGGUGAAAUCUCCGUGCGUAACAUGGAAACUGCCAUUGAUACUACUGAUCUUGAAUUUUCUGGAGGUAAGCGGAAUAUGUCAUGUAGCGGUGAAAUGCUUAGAUAUGACAUAGAACACCAAUUGCGAAGGCAGCUUGCUACAGGGAUAUUGACACUGAGGCACGAAAGCGUGGGGAGCAAACAGG
rnacentral:rRNA from 1 species